UAGGACAUAGCGUAGUUUAGUAACGUGCCAUCUUGGGGUGAUGAAGAUCAUGGGUUCAAAUCCCGCUGCUUCAA
rnacentral:tRNA from 1 species